UACGGAGGGUGCGAGCGUUAAUCGGAAUUACUGGGCGUAAAGCGCGCGUAGGCGGCCUAAUCAGUCGGAUGUGAAAGCCCUGGGCUUAACCUGGGAAUUGCAUUCGAUACUGUCAGGCUAGAGUAUGGGAGAGGGAAGUGGAAUUUCCGGUGUAGCGGUGAAAUGCGUAGAUAUCGGAAGGAACACCAGUGGCGAAGGCGACUUCCUGGCCCAAUACUGACGCUCAGGUGCGAAAGCGUGGGUAGCGAACAGG
rnacentral:rRNA from 1 species